rnacentral:rRNA from 1 species
UACGUAGGGUGCGAGCGUUGUCCGGAAUUAUUGGGCGUAAAGGGCUCGUAGGCGGUCUGUCGCGUCGGGAGUGAAAACUCAGGGCUUAACCCUGAGCCUGCUUCCGAUACGGGCAGACUAGAGGUAUGCAGGGGAGAACGGAAUUCCUGGUGUAGCGGUGGAAUGCGCAGAUAUCAGGAGGAACACCGGUGGCGAAGGCGGUUCUCUGGGCAUUACCUGACGCUGAGGAGCGAAAGUGUGGGGAGCGAGCAGG